AAUUUUAUUUCCUAAAGUGAUCAAGGAAAAAGGAAAAGAAACUGUAUGUUCCAAAAUAUUUCUAGUGGCUCUUUUUGUGGUGGUAAAGAACUGGAAGCUGAAGGGCUGGCCAUCAAUUGGAGAAUUGACCUUCUUUAAGUUGUUCCAGUUGAUCCUUUGUAUAAUUGUUCUAUUUAUAAAAGCUGUGGAACUCCUACUGCAAAAGAGCUCAAGUGAAAAUAGCUCAGCCAUCAAUACUGCUGCUGCCUAGUGGUAGGCUGAGUUCAGGAAGAUUUGCCAACUGCCUACAAUCUGGAAGGCUGUUCUUUCAGGCAAGAAUUUUUCACUUGCCUCUUAAUCCUAAUUGGGCCAGUUAAAGCAGGUUGGACUGUUGCUGAUUAUGUAGGCUCCCUGAUGGUUUGGAAGUGAGGAAUGAAAUGUUUGGCUAAG
rnacentral:lncRNA from 1 species